rnacentral:lncRNA from 1 species
CGCCGCUGCUAUGGGCGCCACUGUUGUUGUGAAGCCCCGACGCCGCCGCUCACUCCGCCAUGUUGCCGCCCCCUGCCUGCGGUAGCGGCCACUGCGCCUGCGCAGAGCCUCCGGGGGGCGGAGCCCUGGCGGCACCCCCUCUUUCGCCCUGCCCUCCUUCUCCUUCCACCCACCCACCCCGACACCCCUUGUCCCUCCCCCAACCACUCUGAACGGAUAGACAGGUGAGCAGGUGCAUGGGGACCGCUGCCAGACACUGGGGCGAGCUGGCGGAGGCGGGGCGGGUGGUGGCUUCCUCGUAAUUUCUCCCUGGAGGGUGGAUUCUCCCUGUGGGGAAGGACACAGAGUGUGUGUGUCUUGCCUUCGCUGCCACCUCCUUAUUCCCUCAAUAUCCUCUUGCUAGGGGGAGAUUCAUCUUCGUCGUCGCACCCAGCUGCUGCUACUGCCAGUGCCACGUGCCUUGCAAGAUAAAGAAGCACCAGCAGAGCUGGCGAGCAGAAACCUGGCCUCAGGGCAAAAGAGAUGCCACAGAAAUAGUUACACAGGCCUCGGAAGGGAAGCCUCCACUGCGUGUACGGCCCCCGUGGACUGCCACAGGAUUUCCUAGGAUCCUCCUGGAAGCCUCAAAGAAUGGGUCAGAUUUUGUGGAUUCUAAGCAUCAUGACACUCUAUAA